UGAGAUAUCUAGGAGAGUUUCACCAUAGAAAAUAAGAGGUGUGAGGUGAAGGAACCAGAUCUAGGGUUUCAGGGUUAGAUCUUAAAAUUUUUUCAAGAUCAGGCAGCAGAAGACUAAAAUAAAUCAAAAUUUAUCUUAUAAAAUUAGAGAAUCUCUAGAUCUAAGAUCCUAUUACAUGAUUAUUACAUGACAUUAAAUCAAAAAUUAAAAUAUAAAGAGCAAGAACUACAUGCUGAUCAUAUCAACAUAUUUCUAUACUACAUCUAAUG
rnacentral:lncRNA from 1 species